UGCUUAAUACAUGCAAGUCGAGCGAGAAAGUACCUUUCGGGGUGCGAGUAAAGCGGCGAACGGGUGAGUAACACGUAAGCAACCUGCCCUUAAAUCUGGAAUAACUUCGCUAACGCGGGGCUAAUGCCGGAUGUGAUCUGAAUUUCUCAUGAUUUUCAGAUUAAAGGUGACCUCUAUUUAUAAGUUACUGUUUAGGGAUGGGCUUGCGUACCAUUAGUUUGUUGGUAGGGUAACGGCCUACCAAGACUACGAUGGUUAGCCGACCUGAGAGGGUGAUCGGCCACAUUGGGACUGAGAUACGGCCCAGACUCCUACGGGAGGCAGCAGUAGGGAAUUUUGCGCAAUGGACGAAAGUCUGACGCAGCAACUCCGCGUGAGGGAUGAAUGUCUUCGGAUUGUAAACCUCUGUUGAUAGGGAAGAAAAAGCCUUGUGCUAAUAUCACAAGGCCCUGACGGUACCUGUCAAGAAAGCUCCGGCUAACUACGUGCCAGCAGCCGCGGUAAUACGUAGGGAGCAAGCGUUGUUCGGAAUCACUGGGCGUAAAGAGAGCGUAGGCGGGAAAGUAAGUUAGAAGUGAAAUGUACCGGCUCAACCGGUAACGUGCUUUUAAUACUGCUUUUCUUGAGUAUCGGAGAGGUAGAUGGAAUUCCAGGUGUAGCGGUGGAAUGCGUAGAUAUCUGGAAGAACACCAGUUGCGAAGGCGGUCUACUGGCCGAAUACUGACGCUGAGGCUCGAAAGCUAGGGGAGCGAACAGGAUUAGAUACCCUGGUAGUCCUAGCCGUAAACGAUGGAUACUAGAUGAUGCUGGGGAUGUUAUGUUUUCAGUGUCGAAGCUAACGCAUUAAGUAUCCCGCCUGGGGAGUACGCUCGCAAGAGUGAAACUCAAAGGAAUUGACGGGGGCCCGCACAAGCGGUGGAGCAUGUGCUUUAAUUCGAUGCAACGCGAAGAACCUUACCUGGUCUUGACAUGGGAGUGAAAGUCUUUAGAGAUAGAGGCCUUUCCCUCGGGAACACUCUACACAGGUGCUGCAUGGUUGUCGUCAGCUCGUGUCGUGAGAUGUUGGGUUAAGUCCCGCAACGAGCGCAACCCCUGUCCUUAGUUGCCAUCAGGUAAUGCUGGGAACUCUAAGGAGACUGCCUGGAUUAACCAGGAGGAAGGUGGGGAUGACGUCAAAUCCUCAUGGCCCUUACGACCAGGGCUA
rnacentral:rRNA from 1 species